AGUAUCUUCUUAUAUUUCACCUUUAUGAUUGUUAAUUUUGGAUACUUUACACUGUUAAGUUUUAAUCCUCUUUUAGACUAAAAGGGGAAUUGUAGGGGAAGCUGUAGCCAUGCCUACUUAGGGGCUGGCUACAGUGUGCCUGACCACGCUUGUGAGGGCGUGGUCAGGGUGACAUAGAGGACACUUUCAGGGGAUUGCGUUUCUCUUUUGGUUUCACUUUGGUACUUGCUGGACAGACUGCUGCCAUGCCGGUUGCUCUGUAAUCUGGCCUCUGACUCUUUGGGUGUCAGUCUCAUGGAUGUGGACAGAUUUCUGUACCUUUCAACUAAAAGCAAGAUGUCUACUCUGAGUUUAUUUUUAAGGUGUUGAUGCCAAACUGAAAGCCCUGAGCCAGCAGCAUUGGAAUCAUUUGGGAAGUCGAAAUGCAGAACCUCAGGCACUCCCC
rnacentral:lncRNA from 1 species